GGUAAGGCUGUAGUGUGGGUUUGUACAUCUGUUUUACUGAGAAAUGACGUGGUUUCUCUCUCUAGAAAUUACAUCAUUUACGCGGAUACGUGUGGGAGCUUAAGCUCGUGUUGGCUGUGAGGCGUGAUUGGUUGUGGUAUGUCAGGUGGCAUGACUGGCCAAUGGAAAGGGGUUUUGGACAGAAAGAUCUAGAUGCAAGCUCAGCAUUUUGGGCUAGAAGCUUCUAGAGAGUGACAUCAGCGUCUGGGUCUUUGUGAUUGGUUGUGGUAUGUCAGGUGGCAUAUAACGGAGUGUAUAGUGCUUCAGCACCGGCAGCCGCUUGAUGAAACCGGUAAAAGCUGCAUCUGGUGAAGGCGUGAUUGGCUGUGGUAUGUCAGGUGACAUAACUGGCCAAUGGAACGGGGUUUAGGACAGAAAGAUCUAGAUGCAAGUUCAGCGUUUUGGGCUGGAAACUUCUGGGACGUGACUGACGCUACUGGGUCUUUCGCAUGCAUUUUGUGGAGUAAAGUUGACUGAAGUCGGCUCAAAGCUGUUUAAAGUCUUCACUGCAAUCCUGCCUGAGAAGUGUGUCGACUUAACUGCUGAUUUCAGAGGUGCGUUGACCCGCUCUAUAACGGAGUGUAUAGUGCUUCAGUACGGCAGCCGUUUGAUGAAACCGGUAAAAGCUGUAUCUGGUGAAGGAACGUCGGUCCCUGAGCGGUGCUGCAGUUGAAUCAACGCCCAGAUCUUAAGGGACGAAAAAGCCGGAGUGACACAAGGCAAGACCAGAGCAAGAACGCCACGAAUCAAAAGCCUCUCUUGUGUAGGUGGCUUUCAAGGGGCUUUCAAAGGUGCAGACCAUGAUAUGCAAAGCUGUACAGAAGAACAAUGGGUGAAUGAAGGCUUCAGAUAACAUCAUCGAAAAAAACAGCAACAGAAAGAGUCGGGGUAGAAGCAGAGAGAACAAAACUAAAUGCUAGCAUAUUUCAAGGAGGUGACAACUGUGUUUCUGUGCCCUGUGAAUUUCCUGGAAUUUCCUGGAGUAUUAUGGCAGAAUUGUGCAGCUACGUUUCCUCGUUGGAAUUUGGAAUGCCGAACUGCUGGAUAUUUGUUUUAUUCAUUUUUGGAAAAUCAUCUUGGAUUAUCCAGCUUUUUGCUGCACUGUAUCAACCUCUGUAUACCAAACAACUUUGUGCUAAUUUCCUUUCCCCGCCUCCACCCCUGCAACCAGGAGGUGAGCACAACUCAUAGGCGCAGUCAGACGUGUUUCUGAGCGCUCCCGAUGAAAUUUGGAAAAUCUGCAUUAUUUCUACUACAUUAAAUCACCCCAGGCUAAAAUUGUGAAUUCCACUGUGUGUAAUACAUAUUUACUGGUCAUGCCUGCGGAACUUUCAACUUUUCGUGUGCUUUGUGGUCGCUUUUUGUGGCGAUACGUCUACUUCAUGCAGCGAAGGGCGACGGCUGCCGCAGUCAAACAAAGCAAGGUGAGCACUAAGAGAGCACAAUGUGUGCUGCUUGCUAUCAUCAUAUCUAGUCUGCUGAUGUGUUCUGGAAAUGUUGAACUGAACCCCGGACCCCUCGAGGAAAUAAUUCAUGUUCCAAAUGCAGCUGAUCAGAUGACAAGUGACUGCACGGUACCUGACGUUUCGUUAACGGACACACUUGUCCCUGUACAGCUUGCCACAAGUGACAGCGAAAACCCUACCUGUGCCGGCCCUGAGCCAGAACAACCCACGAUUCAAAGUAUAUCAUCUAGUCUCGCCCUUCUCUCUACUUCUCUGUCCCGCUUGGAACAGUCACAGUCCGCUUUUGUCUGUUCUGUAGACAGCCAACUUCGUGGUAUCGGAGACAUCAUCACUCACCAAAUCUCACAGCAAAUACAAACAUUUUACCAGUCCUUGGUGC
rnacentral:lncRNA from 1 species